CGGUAAUUCCAGCUCCAAUAGCGUAUACUAAAGUUGUUGCAGUUAAAAAGCUCGUAGUUGGAUUUCUGCGGGGACGGAGCGGCCGGACGCAACUUGCGUCUCGAGCUAGCGCUUUCCCCACAUCCUGCCGCGAACCGUGCUACCAUUAGCUUGGUGGCGCUGGGGAUCGGCUCGAUUACUUUGAGAAAAAUAGAGUGUUCAAAGCAGGCCACACGCCUUGAAUAAGUUAGCAUGGAAUAAUGAUUAAGGACUUCGGUUCUAUUUUGUUGGUGUUCGGGACUGAAGUAAUGAUUGAUAGGGACAGUUGGGGCGGUCUGUAUUCCAAAGCGAGAGGUGAAAUUCUUAGACCUUCGGAAGACAAACAGCUGCGAAAGCGUUCCGCAAGGAUGUUCCCUUUGAUCAAGAACGAAAGUUGGGGGAUCGAAGACGAUCAGAUACCGUCGUAGUCUCAACUAUAAACUAUACCAGCUAGGGAUCGGCCAACGUUUAACUUUAUCGACUUGGUCGGCACCUUAUGAGAAAUCAAAGCAUCUGGGUUCCGGGGGGAGUAUGGUCGCAAGGCUGAAACUUAAAGGAAUUGACGGAAGGGCACCACCAGGCGUGGAGCCUGUGGCUUAAUUUGACUCAACACGGGAAAACUUACCAGGUCCAGACAUAGGAAGGAUUGACAGAUUGAUAGCUCUUUCUUGAUUCUGUGGGUGGUGGUGCAUGGCCGUUUUUAGUCGGUGAAGUGAUUUGUCUGCUUAAUUGCGUUAACGGACGAGACCCCAGCCUGCUAAAUAGCGCGGCCGAGCUUUGCUCGGUGCGAGCUUCUUAGAGGGACCAUGAUGCGCGAUAGCACAAGGAAGUUUGGGGCAACAACAGGUCUGUGAUGCCCUUAGAUGUUCUGGGCCGCACACGGGCUACACUGGCGCCUGCAACGAGCAUAUCAGCUGGCCCGAGAGGGUCUUGGCUAAUCUUUGGAACCGGCGCCGUGCUUGGGAUUGACCAUUGCAAUUGUUGGUCAUGCAACGAGGAAUGCCUUGUAAACGCGAGUCAUCAGCUCGCAUUGAAUACGUCCCUGCCCUUUGUACACACCGCCCGUCGCUCCUACCGAUGAAUGUUCCGAUGAAAUUUUCGGAGAGCGCCAGAGAACGGGGCUCUGCCUUGCAGAUCUGGAGGCUCAAAGUCACUUAAAUCUGAACAUUUCGAGGAAGGAGAAGUCGUAACAAGGUAACC
rnacentral:rRNA from 1 species